rnacentral:rRNA from 3 species
GGGUUGUGAGGUUAAGCGACUAAGCGUACACGGUGGAUGCCCUGGCAGUCAGAGGCGAUGAAGGACGUGCUAAUCUGCGAUAAGCGUCGGUAAGGUGAUAUGAACCGUUAUAACCGGCGAUUUCCGAAUGGGGAAACCCAGUGUGAUUCGUCACACUAUCAUUAACUGAAUCCAUAGGUUAAUGAGGCGAACCGGGGGAACUGAAACAUCUAAGUACCCCGAGGAAAAGAAAUCAACCGAGAUUCCCCCAGUAGCGGCGAGCGAACGGGGAGCAGCCCAGAGCCUGAAUCAGUGUGUGUGUUAGUGGAAGCGUCUGGAAAGGCGCGCGAUACAGGGUGACAGCCCCGUACACAAAAAUGCACAUGCUGUGAGCUCGAUGAGUAGGGCGGGACACGUGGUAUCCUGUCUGAAUAUGGGGGGACCAUCCUCCAAGGCUAAAUACUCCUGACUGACCGAUAGUGAACCAGUACCGUGAGGGAAAGGCGAAAAGAACCCCGGCGAGGGGAGUGAAAAAGAACCUGAAACCGUGUACGUACAAGCAGUGGGAGCACGCUUAGGCGUGUGACUGCGUACCUUUUGUAUAAUGGGUCAGCGACUUAUAUUCUGUAGCAAGGUUAACCGAAUAGGGGAGCCGAAGGGAAACCGAGUCUUAACUGGGCGUUAAGUUGCAGGGUAUAGACCCGAAACCCGGUGAUCUAGCCAUGGGCAGGUUGAAGGUUGGGUAACACUAACUGGAGGACCGAACCGACUAAUGUUGAAAAAUUAGCGGAUGACUUGUGGCUGGGGGUGAAAGGCCAAUCAAACCGGGAGAUAGCUGGUUCUCCCCGAAAGCUAUUUAGGUAGCGCCUCGUGAAUUCAUCUCCGGGGGUAGAGCACUGUUUCGGCAAGGGGGUCAUCCCGACUUACCAACCCGAUGCAAACUGCGAAUACCGGAGAAUGUUAUCACGGGAGACACACGGCGGGUGCUAACGUCCGUCGUGAAGAGGGAAACAACCCAGACCGCCAGCUAAGGUCCCAAAGUCAUGGUUAAGUGGGAAACGAUGUGGGAAGGCCCAGACAGCCAGGAUGUUGGCUUAGAAGCAGCCAUCAUUUAAAGAAAGCGUAAUAGCUCACUGGUCGAGUCGGCCUGCGCGGAAGAUGUAACGGGGCUAAACCAUGCACCGAAGCUGCGGCAGCGACGCUGAUGCGUUGUUGGGUAGGGGAGCGUUCUGUAAGCCUGCGAAGGUGUGCUGUGAGGCAUGCUGGAGGUAUCAGAAGUGCGAAUGCUGACAUAAGUAACGAUAAAGCGGGUGAAAAGCCCGCUCGCCGGAAGACCAAGGGUUCCUGUCCAACGUUAAUCGGGGCAGGGUGAGUCGACCCCUAAGGCGAGGCCGAAAGGCGUAGUCGAUGGGAAACAGGUUAAUAUUCCUGUACUUGGUGUUACUGCGAAGGGGGGACGGAGAAGGCUAUGUUGGCCGGGCGACGGUUGUCCCGGUUUAAGCGUGUAGGCUGGUUUUCCAGGCAAAUCCGGAAAAUCAAGGCUGAGGCGUGAUGACGAGGCACUACGGUGCUGAAGCAACAAAUGCCCUGCUUCCAGGAAAAGCCUCUAAGCAUCAGGUAACAUCAAAUCGUACCCCAAACCGACACAGGUGGUCAGGUAGAGAAUACCAAGGCGCUUGAGAGAACUCGGGUGAAGGAACUAGGCAAAAUGGUGCCGUAACUUCGGGAGAAGGCACGCUGAUAUGUAGGUGAAGUCCCUCGCGGAUGGAGCUGAAAUCAGUCGAAGAUACCAGCUGGCUGCAACUGUUUAUUAAAAACACAGCACUGUGCAAACACGAAAGUGGACGUAUACGGUGUGACGCCUGCCCGGUGCCGGAAGGUUAAUUGAUGGGGUCAGCGCAAGCGAAGCUCUUGAUCGAAGCCCCGGUAAACGGCGGCCGUAACUAUAACGGUCCUAAGGUAGCGAAAUUCCUUGUCGGGUAAGUUCCGACCUGCACGAAUGGCGUAAUGAUGGCCAGGCUGUCUCCACCCGAGACUCAGUGAAAUUGAACUCGCUGUGAAGAUGCAGUGUACCCGCGGCAAGACGGAAAGACCCCGUGAACCUUUACUAUAGCUUGACACUGAACAUUGAGCCUUGAUGUGUAGGAUAGGUGGGAGGCUUUGAAGUGUGGACGCCAGUCUGCAUGGAGCCGACCUUGAAAUACCACCCUUUAAUGUUUGAUGUUCUAACGUGGACCCGUAAUCCGGGUUGCGGACAGUGUCUGGUGGGUAGUUUGACUGGGGCGGUCUCCUCCUAAAGAGUAACGGAGGAGCACGAAGGUUGGCUAAUCCUGGUCGGACAUCAGGAGGUUAGUGCAAUGGCAUAAGCCAGCUUGACUGCGAGCGUGACGGCGCGAGCAGGUGCGAAAGCAGGUCAUAGUGAUCCGGUGGUUCUGAAUGGAAGGGCCAUCGCUCAACGGAUAAAAGGUACUCCGGGGAUAACAGGCUGAUACCGCCCAAGAGUUCAUAUCGACGGCGGUGUUUGGCACCUCGAUGUCGGCUCAUCACAUCCUGGGGCUGAAGUAGGUCCCAAGGGUAUGGCUGUUCGCCAUUUAAAGUGGUACGCGAGCUGGGUUUAGAACGUCGUGAGACAGUUCGGUCCCUAUCUGCCGUGGGCGCUGGAGAACUGAGGGGGGCUGCUCCUAGUACGAGAGGACCGGAGUGGACGCAUCACUGGUGUUCGGGUUGUCAUGCCAAUGGCACUGCCCGGUAGCUAAAUGCGGAAGAGAUAAGUGCUGAAAGCAUCUAAGCACGAAACUUGCCCCGAGAUGAGUUCUCCCUGACUCCUUGAGAGUCCUGAAGGAACGUUGAAGACGACGACGUUGAUAGGCCGGGUGUGUAAGCGCAGCGAUGCGUUGAGCUAACCGGUACUAAUGAACCGUGAGGCUUAACCUUACAACGCCGAAGCUGUU